CCUAAACUUGUUAGACACUGGUCAUGUGAUCAACUCCCCCUAGUGGUGAACCAUCGGGUUUUCGAAACGUUUCGAAACAGUUAUGACGUAAUGAAGCCUCGUUUGCUAAAAUCACGUGACUUGGGCCAGUUUGAAACAAGCUCCGAACCACUGAUUCGAAACAAAAGAUUCGUAAAUGUUUCGAAGCGUCAUGAAGCAGUGCUUCGAAAACGUCCAUCACUAGUCACGAGCGGCAGGGUUUAAUUUGGAUUUGUCUGUGCAUGUUUUUACUGUCUGAGAUUUUGUUACUAUUCACAUGCAUACAGACUGAAACGGUUGGAGUUUCUACAUUUGUGUUGUACUGAAGAAACAAAAUCACAUACAUAUUGGAUGGCCUCGGGGUAAGCUGAUAAAUAUAAAAAAUUCAUUUUAAGAUGAAUCCCGUACGUUGGCGGCUGUUUUAAACUGGGUGCUCGGCUCAGACCCUUUUGCCAGUAUGAAGCCGAUUUCAACGGUAACUGCAGAAAGCGUCAGCACGCUCAGCUCAUCACUGGAGUAACGUCUGUACAACGGGUGAGAUAAAACUCAACGCCUGACUGAAUCAUCCAUUCCCUUUUCGAUCCUACGCCAUACGUUAAACUUGAGGUAAUCUUGCUUUUGCUGUUCUAAAAUAAACACUGCUCUUAGCACACCACCCAUACAUGGCACACAAAACAGGUCUUGUGAGGGGGCUGUGCCCACAGGUAGAAAUUCUGUAGGUCCACGGGCUUCUCCCCUUUCAGCGAACAUCACAGCGCUUAGUCCACCAUCGUGGUCUCCAAUCUCCAUU